rnacentral:piRNA from 1 species
UAUUGAGCAACUUGAAAAUGAAA